rnacentral:rRNA from 1 species
CCUACGGGAGGCAGCAGUGGGGAAUAUUGGACAAUGGGGGCAACCCUGAUCCAGCCAUGCCGCGUGUGUGAAGAAGGCCCUCGGGUUGUAAAGCACUUUCAGUGAGGAAGAACGCCUGGUGGUUAAUACCCAUCAGGAAAGACAUCACUCACAGAAGAAGCACCGGCUAACUCCGUGCCAGCAGCCGCGGUAAUACGGAGGGUGCGAGCGUUAAUCGGAAUUACUGGGCGUAAAGCGCGCGUAGGUGGCUUGAUAAGCCGGUUGUGAAAGCCCCGGGCUCAACCUGGGAACGGCAUCCGGAACUGUCAAGCUAGAGUGCAGGAGAGGAAGGUAGAAUUCCCGGUGUAGCGGUGAAAUGCGUAGAGAUCGGGAGGAAUACCAGUGGCGAAGGCGGCCUUCUGGACUGACACUGACACUAAGGUGCGAAAGCGUGGGUAGCAAACAGGAUUAGAUACCCCAGUAGUC